GACGAACGCUGGCGGCGUGCUUAACACAUGCAAGUCGAACGGAAAGGCCCUGCUUUUGUGGGGUGCUCGAGUGGCGAACGGGUGAGUAACACGUGAGUAACCUGCCCUUGACUUUGGGAUAACUUCAGGAAACUGGGGCUAAUACCGGAUAGGAGCUCCUGCUGCAUGGUGGGGGUUGGAAAGUUUCGGCGGUUGGGGAUGGACUCGCGGCUUAUCAGCUUGUUGGUGGGGUAGUGGCUUACCAAGGCUUUGACGGGUAGCCGGCCUGAGAGGGUGACCGGCCACAUUGGGACUGAGAUACGGCCCAGACUCCUACGGGAGGCAGCAGUGGGGAAUAUUGCACAAUGGGCGGAAGCCUGAUGCAGCAACGCCGCGUGCGGGAUGACGGCCUUCGGGUUGUAAACCGCUUUCGCCCGUGACGAAGCGUGAGUGACGGUAAUGGGUAAAGAAGCACCGGCUAACUACGUGCCAGCAGCCGCGGUGAUACGUAGGGUGCGAGCGUUGUCCGGAUUUAUUGGGCGUAAAGGGCUCGUAGGUGGUUGAUCGCGUCGGAAGUGUAAUCUUGGGGCUUAACCCUGAGCGUGCUUUCGAUACGGGUUGACUUGAGGAAGGUAGGGGAGGAUGGAAUUCCUGGUGGAGCGGUGGAAUGCGCAGAUAUCAGGAGGAACACCAGUGGCGAAGGCGGUUCUCUGGGCCUUUCCUGACGCUGAGGAGCGAAAGCGUGGGGAGCGAACAGGCUUAGAUACCCUGGUAGUCCACGCUGUAAACGGUGGGUACUAGGUGUGGGGUCCAUUCCACGGGUUCCGUGCCGUAGCUAACGCUUUAAGUACCCCGCCUGGGGAGUACGGCCGCAAGGCUAAAACUCAAAGGAAUUGACGGGGCCCCGCACAAGCGGCGGAGCAUGCGGAUUAAUUCGAUGCAACGCGUAGAACCUUACCUGGGUUUGACAUGGAUCGGGAGUGCUCAGAGAUGGGUGUGCCUCUUUUGGGGUCGGUUCACAGGUGGUGCAUGGCUGUCGUCAGCUCGUGUCGUGAGAUGUUGGGUUAAGUCCCGCAACGAGCGCAACCCUUGUUCACUGUUGCCAGCACGUUAUGGUGGGGACUCAGUGGAGACCGCCGGGGUCAACUCGGAGGAAGGUGGGGAUGACGUCAAGUCAUCAUGCCCCUUAUGUCCAGGGCUUCACGCAUGCUACAAUGGCUGGUACAGAGAGUGGCGAGCCUGUGAGGGUGAGCGAAUCUCGGAAAGCCGGUCUCAGUUCGGAUCGGGGUCUGCAACUCGACCUCAUGAAGUCGGAGUCGCUAGUAAUCGCAGAUCAGCAACGCUGCGGUGAAUACGUUCCCGGG
rnacentral:rRNA from 1 species